UUCCUUCGGGGGGCAGCAGUGGGGAAUAUUGGACAAAUGGGCGAAAGCCUGAUCCAGCCAUGCCGCGUGUGUGAAGAAGGUCUUCGGAUUGUAAAGCACUUUAAGUUGGGAGGAAGGGCAGUAAGUUAAUACCUUGCUGUUUUGACGUUACCAACAGAAUAAGCACCGGCUAAAUUCGUGCCAGCAGCCGCGGUAAUACGAAGGGUGCAAGCGUUAAUCGGAAUUACUGGGCGUAAAGCGCGCGUAGGUGGUUCAUCAAGUUGGAUGUGAAAUCCCCGGGCUCAACCUGGGAACUGCAUCCAAAACUAGUGAGCUAGAGUACGGUAGAGGGUGGUGGAAUUUCCUGUGUAGCGGUGAAAUGCGUAGAUAUAGGAAGGAACACCAGUGGCGAAGGCGACCACCUGGACUGUAUACUGACAUGAGUACGAAGUUGGCC
rnacentral:rRNA from 1 species